CAACGAGCGCAACCCUCGCCCUAGUUGCCAGCAUUUAGUUGGGUCGACUCUAAGGGGACUGCCGGUGAUAAGCCGAGAGGAAGGUGGGGAUGACGUCAAGUCCUCAUGGCCCUUACGGGCUGGGCUACACACGUGCUACAAUGGUGGUGACAGUGGGCAGCGAGACCGCGAGGUCGAGCUAAUCUCCAAAAGCCAUCUCAGUUCGGAUUGCACUCUGCAACUCGAGUGCAUGAAGUUGGAAUCGCUAGUAAUCGCAGAUCAGCAUGCUGCGGUGAAUACGUUCCCGGGCCCUU
rnacentral:rRNA from 1 species